rnacentral:tRNA from 1 species
UGGCCCGUGGUGUAACGGUAGCACUUCUGGUUUUGGUCCAGACUGUCAUGGUUCGAAUCCAUGCGGGCCAG